CGAGUAGGUGGCCAUCUAAGUCAGACGUGAAAUCCCCCGGCUUAACCUGGGAACUGCGUCUGAUACUGGACGGCUUGAGUAUGGGAGAGGGAUGUAGAAUUCCAGGUGUAGCGGUGAAAUGCGUAGAUAUCUGGAGGAAUACCGGUGGCGAAGGCGGCAUCCUGGACCAUUACUGACACUGAACCGCGAAAGCUAGGGGAGCAAACG
rnacentral:rRNA from 1 species